AACAAGGCUGUGAUCGGGAGAGUCAGAUGUUAAAGGGAUUCCAGAGAGGAGCUGGCCGGUGCGAAGCUCCAUUCCUGAACAUCUGAUAUGCACCCGGGAGCUGACCUCUGAAACGGAUGCGGCCCGGAGUAGGAGGAUCCGGCCACCCGCCGUUAUCGGGAAAAAGAGGGGCCUGGUUGGCCCAAACAGAGUGGAACCGCGGAUAUACCGUCUCUGUA
rnacentral:ncRNA from 1 species